rnacentral:misc_RNA from 1 species
UCUCUCUCUCUCUCUCUCUAUGUCAAUUUGUGAUUAUUAUUUUGUAGUUCUUCAUUUCUAAAGCAGAUAUCUAUAGAAAUUUCUUCCACUGCUUUCUUUUCCACCCCUUCUCCUUUCAAAUCUUUUUUUUUUUUUUUAUUGGGUUCAUCUUCUUUAACAAUAGAUAACAUAGUUGCUACUUGCUAGCUUCUUAGACCAAAAUCAAGCUUCUUUCAUCAAUUCAUAGAUAGACUGUCACCUCACCUCAAAACCAACAAAUACUUUGAUCCCCUACCAAAAUUUAAUAACAUGAGGGAAAAAAAAUAAUAAUGUUUACAACUCCACUCAACCAGAACAUCUCCCAUUAUCCCGCCAUUUCCUAGUCAACCUCUUCAUAGAAAAAAUAAGAAAAAAAAAAUAAAAGAAAGACAAUGACAGCAAAGACGCUUCCGGUUAAAGGACCAAUCUUGUAAUUUAUGAUCUAGGAGGAUAACCCAAUGUGCAGUUAAAAUUUUCACACUCCAAAAGCUCAACCAAAAAUUUCAAAGGUGCUUGGUUAGCAUUAACAUUGGCACAGUAGCUUUACAUACUGUUACCGCGAAUCCAGCUAACAAUCCAAUGCACAGUCCCUAAAUAUGAUAUCAAUCUCUUGCAUAUUUUGUUGCUUUUUACCUUUCAAAAAACAAGGAUCUUCUAAAUGAUUGA